GAUGAACGCUGGCGGCGUGCCUAAUACAUGCAAGUCGAGCGAACAGACGAGGAGCUUGCUCCUCUGACGUUAGCGGCGGACGGGUGAGUAACACGUGGAUAACCUACCUAUAAGACUGGGAUAACUUCGGGAAACCGGAGCUAAUACCGGAUAAUAUAUUGAACCGCAUGGUUCAAUAGUGAAAGACGGUUUUGCUGUCACUUAUAGAUGGAUCCGCGCCGCAUUAGCUAGUUGGUAAGGUAACGGCUUACCAAGGCAACGAGGCGUAGCCGACCUGAGAGGGUGAUCGGCCACACUGGAACUGAACCACGGUCCAGACUCCUACGGGAGGCAGCAGUAGGGAAUCUUCCGCAAUGGGCGAAAGCCUGACGGAGCAACGCCGCGUGAGUGAUGAAGGUCUUCGGAUCGUAAAACUCUGUUAUUAGGGAAGAACAAAUGUGUAAGUAACUAUGCACGUCUUGACGGUACCUAAUCAGAAAGCCACGGCUAACUACGUG
rnacentral:rRNA from 1 species